UACGUAGGAUGCAAGCGUUGUCCGGAUUUAUUGGGCGUAAAGGGUGCGUAGGUGGCGCCGUAAGUCAGGUGUGAAAUUUCGGAGCUUAACUCCGAAACUGCAUUUGAUACUGCGGUGCUUGAGGACUGGAGAGGAGACUGGAAUUCACGGUGUAGCAGUGAAAUGCGUAGAUAUCAGGAAGAACACCCGUGGCGAAGGCGGCUCUCUGGGACGGUACUGACGCUGAGACGCGAAAGCGUGGGGAGCGAACAGG
rnacentral:rRNA from 1 species